GUAUCGUGACAUGAUAUUACGAUAUCGCUGUUGUACGUAUACCGAUUUGAUUGAUUUUGGUAUUAUUCGAAAGCUUAUAUGCGAUUUACAUAAGAAAAAUGCGUUUAAAUUUAGAAAAUAUUGCAGGCGUGAUGAGAUAUUAAUGAAAGAAGUUUCAAGUUAGGUUAGAAAAUGGACCAUCUCUCCUGUAAAAGAUAUAUAAGCGGUAGCGCCACGUUAUACAGGGUGGCUGUAUAAUUUUUCAUGAACUUGGCGUCGAGACGCUACCGCGUCUCUAGAUAUAAACAUAACAUUUAUACACUACAUGUAAAUGAGAAGACCUCCAACAUUUAAUGUAUAUACAAUGUUAUAUAAUUUGGUUAAUAUAGAUAUCCGUGCUCACCGUUGGAUGCCAGGACAAUGUGGGAUUUCAGGACAGUGUGGGACUGAAGGACAACGUGGGACUGAAGAACAGCGUGGGACUCAAGGGUUUCAUUGACUCCGGUGCCUAUAAUGUGCUUCCUGGUUCAUCCAGAGAUUGUGCUGUCCAAAGGGGUCGACUCUAAGCAGCCAGCAGGAAAUGCUUUAAAGAAAACAUAAAAAGAAUCAUCAAAAAACGCUGUUCAAAGCUGUGGCAACAGUUUUGAGAACAGCUAGGCAGUUCAGGCGCCGGAGGUCAUGGUGAGACAACGCAUCGAGAAGAUUGAGCAUCUCGUGCAGACCGGUGUGUGUCAGGUUUUAGAAAGCCUGCCAACACCCCUGAACGCGAUGCUCUCUGCCCAGAUGCACAACGAGGGAAAAGCAAAAUCGGCGCGACGAUUCUCCGACAAGGAGAAGCUAUUAGCUCAUGAGCUUUUUGAAAAGAAAGCCUGCGGAUAAGGAGCAUCCAAAGGUACUGCAAAAUUUGAUUUCAUAUGCUCCGAACAUGGAAAUGAUUUGACAUAACUGUAUCAUAUAUGUUGUCGAAACAUAUGUACGCAGAGUGAAUCGCAUUAUAAGUGGAUUCGAACAGAGAAUGGACUUGGAUUCACUUCUAACGCGACCUAUCGAGAUGCGCGAGGGUAAAACUGACCGCUUGCAGAUGUUAGGUUGUAAGGUAAUUAACAUCUACCAUGCAAAGUUACGAGUAAGAAGUUGUGCGCAAGGGCUACAGUCAAUGGGCAAUAACAGUGGGGAAAGGCGCGAAUUGAAAUUUUGGACGGUUUGCCGAACUACUCUUCAACCAUUGGUCAGAGCUGCAGUCAGCUGUCAUCGAGUUUGAAUUUUUGUUAUAGUUUUCGAAUUUGACGCAUGCGCUUUAGCGUCAUGUCUUAUUUUUGGUAUGAAGAUGUUGGUUAUGCUUUGCUCAGUGUAUAAAGAGUAGGCUUGAGCAGUCCAUGUAUACAUAUAUGGUCGAAGUAUAUAUCGUAGUCUCUGUGCGCACUAGCGUCGCGAGUGGACGAAAUAUUCAUAACUUAAAGCUUAGGAUUUUGAUAUGUUGCGUACCGCUACUUUUGAUAGAAGUAAAUUAAUUCCCAAGUCACUUCUAGAUGGCAGAGCGGAGACCCGUUUGCCCGUUGUUAUGGAAUGUGAAUGAGCCUUUGCGUUUGGUAGUUUUGUUUGAAGUUAGUUUAGCGCCAAUUACGAUUUUCUUGUAUUUAUGGUAUUUCGUUUUCUUUUUGAUUGCAUUUUAUUUUAAAACAAUUUGUUAAUACUCACUCGCAUAGCGGCCGUUAACCAGUAUAGACGUCUAUUGUAAAAGCUUGUAUUUAAAGUAAAGAAAUUUAACGUUUGUGUUAAAUUAGUUAUAUUCAAACUGUUACAAUAAAGUUAAUAUUACAUUUCUUAAUUUAUCUUAAAUUAACUUAUUCCUGGCUAAGUCGCACGCAGUUUUAAUAAUCUUGUCACGUGCAGCGUGAACGCCAGUAAAACCCUAAGUCCUUAAAAAUAAAACCGUACGGACUCGCAACAAAAUUGGUGACAGCGGUGGGAUCUUUCCAACAUUAAAUAAUUUUAUUAACUCAGGGCAUUAGAAUCAGGAGCAAGGGCAAAUGCUGGAGAAGGUGAUCUCGACGACCGUGCUUGUUAAUAAUCGUUGAUCACAUGCACCUUGCCGACGGGUCUUCCUGCUGUACCGGAUUGAGGGACGAUCAUCGCUGGACGAGGAAUCAGGAAAAGGAUAGCUAGACGAGGACUCAGGAGAAGGAUCGCCUUAUCUGUAUGGGCGCGCGAACUUCGUGCGCGGGGUGGCGUGUGGGGGUGCCGCGAGCGCGGCUAUUCGACGUGCGCUGGGAUUUACUGCACGAGAAUGGAUACUCUCCGUGCGAGUGAAUUUAGGCAGGAGACAACAGCCCGAGAAUGGAUACUCUCCGUGCACUUGGAGCGGAAGGAGACAAGCACACGAGAACGGAUACUCUCCGUGCGCUCGGACCGGGCUGGAAUCACUGCACGAAAAUGGACACUCUCCGUGCAGCUGAAUUUCGGCAGGACACAAGCGCACGAGAACGGAUACUCUCCGUGCGAGUGGAUUUUCGGUCGGAGACAAGAGCACGAGAACGGAUACUCUCCGUGUGCUUGGUUUUCGGUAGGAAAUCACUGCACGAGAACGGAUACUCUCCGUGCAGAUGAAAUCGGUAGAAGACAAGUGCACGAGAUUGGAUACUCUCCGUGCGCUUAGAUCGGGGGGAAGCAGACUUCGUGCGAGAUACUCGACUUCGUCGUCUGUGCGGCUCGAUACCGCGGGGAUUUCUGGUUCCCGUUUUCGGAGUCCCACCUUAUAUACUAAUUUUGGCCGCUUUGCCGAACUUGUGUAUGUUUGUCGGUGAGGCGCAUUCGCUGUGUUAUUAUUUCGACGUGUCGAACAGCUGUGUUUACUUCGCGCGCGGUAUGUUUUUGUCGCUGGCGUCUGGCGGUUACGCUGCGUGAGAACGCGAUUCCCACGGUUGGCGAUGCGAUACAUGUUUCGAAAGAUUCGUGACGCGAGGCGUCACAAGUUUAUUCGUUUUUUUCUGUUCUUCUCAUUAAUAUAGGGUUUCUUCCUAGCAAUCCUACCGUGAUAGCCAUGUUCUCUCAACGUGCGGUGAAAUGUUUCAGCUGAAACCUGUUUAUUACUUUCUUCAAAAACCUCACUUGCUAAACGAGGUGCACUUAAACGCGGAUUUUCAUUAAUUUUCCGCACAAUUCUCCUUUUUUAUCUCGGGUUUAAAAUAGGUGGACGACCAGUUUGUGGGACAAAUUCAAUACGAUUCUCACUAUUAAAUCUUCUGACUAUAUCCGCCACAGUACUUUUGCUCACACCGAGUAAGGAACUUAUGUCACGAUAUGAUCUUCCCUUUUCGCGGUGAAAUAUUAUGAGCUGGCGUAUAUCAAAGGAAGUGUUCUUGCCUCUCUGACCCAUCUUGACGGAUGUUAGAGUUGCUACUAAAUAAUUUUAAGACGGUAUCGACAGCUAAGGCUAUGCUUGUAAACAAACACUUACCAUUCUUUGAAACACCGCUUCCUAAGAAGUACGGAAUCGCGAAACGUAUUAAAUGUCCGAAUAUUUUUGUGAUCCGAAAAUGUGAUAUUCUUUCGUUCGUUUAUUGCUAUUAUGUAAUUUAUGUAAAUUUUUGGAUUAAUGUAUACAACUUUAAUAAUAUUAAUAAAUGACUUAUUAUUGGAAAAAGUAACGAAGACGAUUGCUUUUUUAAUAACUACGAUAUUAAGUCAUAAAGCUAACCGUACACUAGUGUCCGAAUAUUUCUGGGAGUCACUGAAUAUAAAAUUAUACAAGAACCCUUACACUCUAACAUAUUAUAAAAAUAAGAAAUAUAAAUGCAAAACUUACAACUAAAAAAUCAUCAAGGUAAUUUGAGUUUGUACUUUUUCUUAAUACUCUACUACUCUUUCUUUCCUAUAUAUAAUCUCCUUUUUAAUUCCCGUAGGCACACUUUAGUAGACGCUAUUCUAACUAAACU